rnacentral:tRNA from 1 species
AAAUAUAUAGUAUAAAUAUUACAUUUAACUUCCAAUUAAAAAAUUUAAAAAUAUAAUUUUAAUAUAUUUA